GAAAACCAUUAAAACAUAAUUAAUGAGACUCACAAAAAAGGGUACGUGACGACCGAGAGAGAAUCAGCUGCAGAGAGAGAGAGACUGCAGAGAAAGAAGCCUUCGGAAUGAGGUUGUCAGUGUCUCUGUGUUUUUCUCCUUUUUUUUUUUUUUGAAAAUAAAAUAAAUAAACCAGAAAGUCACUCCAAAAUCACAGAGCAAUCUUUUUUCUUUUUUUUUUUUGAAUUUUGCUAUUAAUGUUGCAAUUUAUUAAACAUAUGUGAACCCAUAAAUAAACAGACUUCUUCAACGGCACGGACCACUUCAUUGAUUAAUCAUUUAUUUUUCGAUCUCAAAGUACAAAACAGAGUGAUUGUUUGACAAGAACCACCACCAACACCAACCUUGGUAUGUGCGGCUCCAAUUCAAAAUUAGGCUUAAAAUUGAAAUUAUUUAUUUAUUUUUCAAUUCAAA
rnacentral:lncRNA from 1 species